AACGUAGGUGGCGAGCGUUAUCCGGAUUUACUGGGCGUAAGGGUGUGCAGGCUGCCCCUCAAGUGGUGUAUGAAAGGGCUCGGCCUCAACCGGGCUAGGUUAUGCCAGACUGAGGGGCUAGAGAGCGAGAGCGGGACGUGGAAUUCCGGGUGUAGUGGUGAAAUGCGUAGAGAUCCGGAGGAACCCCAGAGGCGAAGGCGGCGUCCUGGGCUCGCAUCUGACGCUCAGACACGACAGCAUGGGGGAGCGAACGGGG
rnacentral:rRNA from 1 species